AUACCUUUCUCGGCCUUUUGGCUAAGAUCAAGUGUAGUAUCUGUUCUUAUCAGUUUAAUAUUUGAUACGUGGGCCAUUGGCUCACAUGAUAUUAAAUUAAUUUUUCGUUGGGGGAGGUCCCACCACAAUGGCUUGCCAUUGGGGGCCUCAUGUGUCGCCCUUGCGUUGCACUACUGCUCAGGCCUGGCGCACCCCUA
rnacentral:snRNA from 1 species